rnacentral:lncRNA from 1 species
GGAUUGGGAUAUUCCGACUCCUUAAGGGCCUGGCGCACAUAAGGUGUGACCUUUUCAUUCCCGUUGUUAUGGAGGGCCACAUCUGCCAGAGCCUGGAGUCUGCGAAGGCCGGGACCCGGUUCCCCGGCCCACAGUGGGGGUGUGCAAACCCGAGAGAACUGGUCGCUGAAACCUCUACAACUUAGUUGACCGUAACUGCCAGAGCCCUGCCCUGAAUUCCUGUCCUUACUCCCUCUUUAAGAUUGCGUACCCACUGCAGAGUGCUGAAGACGGGGUAGCCACGAGGUUGCAAAUUCGUGAAGAAUCAGCAUCAUGUUUGGCAGCUGAGUAUUGGAGCCAGGAGCCUGCCAUGAGGUUAUAUUCCCAGAGGAUGUCAGUCCCAAGGACCAGUAGCUGCCAUCAGUUUGGAUUCUGAAAACUAACUGGCAUCAACACUGGGUGUAGAAACAUGCUUGCCUUAUGUAUCAGAGGACAUGCUCAGCAGAUCCAAGAGAUAUAUUUGGCAACUUUUUCUAGAAAAGGCACAUUGGGUAUCAUUCAUUACAUUCUUGAGUUUUUUUGGGUUUUUUUUUUUUUUUUUGAGACAGUCUUGCUGUAUUGCCCAGGCUGGAGUGUGGUGGCACAAUCACAGCUCAUUGCAUCCUCAAUCACCCAGGCCUAAGCAAUCCUCCCACCUUGUAGCUGGGACUACAGCUCACAGCACACCUGGCUAAAAUUUUUUUUUUGUUGAGACGGAUUCUCUAUGUUGCCCAGGCUGGUCUCAGGCUCCUGGGCUCAGAUGGUCCUCCUGCCUCAGCUUCCAAAGGCACAGGCCAAGUUGUAGCUUUGUCCCUUGCCAUCAUGCCCAACAAGAGGUUCUAUACCUUUUAAUGAAUUGACUUUCAUAAAUUGGUUAUGUUGGUGGGCAAAGUUCUUUAAGCUGGAAAUUGUAAAUUCCUCCUGAAAUGUUUUUUCAUGCAGUUACCAUGAACUAAUACUACAAUAAAGGAUGGUCUUGGGUGUCAAUUCUUGAA